AUGCAAGACUACUUCAUGGAGAAUCCUACAUAUCCACCGCACCUCUUCCGGAGAAGGUACCGAAUGCGCCGAUCCCUCUUUGUCAACAUUGUUCAAGCUUGCGAGGCAAAUUGCCGGUAUUUUACUCAAAGAAGAAAUGCUAUGGGAUUAAAGGGAUUUAGUGCAUAUCAAAAAAUCUCCGCGGCAAUGCGGGUGAUUGCAUAUGGUGUUCCGGCUGACUAUGCUGAUGAGUACCUUCGCAUUGGUGAAGAUACUACAAUUGAGUCUGUGCGUAGAUUUGCAAAGGUGAUCAUCCGU
rnacentral:rRNA from 1 species